AACGAACGCUGGCGGCGCGCCUAAUACAUGCAAGUCGAACGAGAAGCUGUAGCAAUACAGUUGUACAGUGGCGAACGGGUGAGGAAUAUAUGGGUGACCUACCCUCGAGUGGGGAAUAACCAGCCGAAAGGUUGGCUAAUACCGCGUACGCUUCCCAGUCUACGGGUUGGGAAGGAAAGCGAUGCCGUGGGUAUCGCGCUCAAGGUUGGGCUCAUGUCCUAUCAGCUUGNGGUGGGGUAACGGCUCACCAAGGCAACGACGGGUAGCUGGUCUGAGAGGACGAUCAGCCACACUGGCACUGCGACACGGGCCAGACUCCUACGGGAGGCAGCAGUAAGGAAUAUUGCGCAUUGGGCGAAAGCCUGACGCAGCGACGCCGCGUGGGGGA
rnacentral:rRNA from 1 species